ensembl:snRNA U6 U6 spliceosomal RNA
GUGCUCACGUGAGCAGCAUAUAUACUAAAACCGGAACAAUAGAGAGAAGAUUAGCACGGACUCGGCUCAAGGAUGACUCAAAGUCAUGAAGUGUUCCACAUAUUU